rnacentral:rRNA from 1 species
UACAGAGGGUGCGAGCGUUGUUCGGAAUUACUGGGCGUAAAGCGCACGUAGGCGGAUCGAUCAGUCGGGGGUGAAAUCCCAGAGCUCAACUCUGGAACUGCCUUUGAUACUGUCGAUCUAGAGUAUGGAAGAGGUGAGUGGAAUUCCGAGUGUAGAGGUGAAAUUCGUAGAUAUUCGGAGGAACACCAGUGGCGAAGGCGGCUCACUGGUCCAUUACUGACGCUGAGGUGCGAAAGCGUGGGGAGCAAACAGGAUAGAAACCCCGGUA